CCAACUGCUCUGUCACUAUCUACAGGUCAAUGAAAUCUCCCAUUCAUGGAGGUCUAAGCAGCAGACCCAAACCAAGAACACCUAAUGGGAUCAGUUCUGCUAUUUUGAUUGUAUGAGAGCUGGCCAGAGUUAGCCAUCUGGUAUUCUUAUCUCUCCGGUGCAUGGCAGUGGUGGUGUUUUUGAACUUCGAGGUACAGUGGCCAGUUCUGCAUCAAUCAGCAACUUCUGCUGCAAGCUCUCGAACUACCCGUCUCCAGCGUUCUCCGUGAUUCCCUGUGUCUCCUCGUCUCCAGUGUUUCUCCAGUGUGUCUUCGUUCCCACGUCUCCUGGUAUCCACGCUCCCUGAAAGAAUCAUCCAGUCAAGUAUCAGU